GAUGAACGCUGGCGGCGUGCCUAAUACAUGCAAGUCGAGCGAAUGGAUUAAGAGCUUGCUCUUAUGAAGUUAGCGGCGGACGGGUGAGUAACACGUGGGUAACCUGCCCAUAAGACUGGGAUAACUCCGGGAAACCGGGGCUAAUACCGGAUAAUAUUUUGAACUGCAUGGUUCAAAAUUGAAAGGCGGCUUCGGCUGUCACUUAUGGAUGGACCCACGUCGCAUUAGCUAGUUGGUGAGGUAACGGCUCACCAAGGCAACGAUGCGUAGCCGACCUGGGAGGGUGAUCGGCCACACUGGGACUGAGACACGGCCCAGACUCCUACGGGAGGCAGCAGUAGGGAAUCUUCCGCAAUGGACGAGAGUCUGACGGAGCAACGCCGCGUGAGUGAUGAAGGCUUUCGGGUCGUAAAACUCUGUUGUUAGGGAAGAACAAGUGCUAGUUGAAUAAGCUGGCACCUUGACGGUACCUAACCAGAAAGCCACGGCUAACUACGUGCCAGCCGCCGCGGUAA
rnacentral:rRNA from 1 species